CCUUUAUCCCAGCAUAGCACACUUAAUCCCAGCAUCAACUCCCUAGAUCCAGCUACCUCAGAAAAGCCCCACCUAUGACCAUGAAGCUUUUGGGGGACGUAGACUCAAAUCCCAGGACUUUGGGAGUCCCAAACUGUUAUGGUUUAUAUCUAUAUAAAACAUAGGGAGGGAAGAGAGAGAGGAAAGGGAGAAGGAGAGGAGAGAGGGGAGAGGAAGUGAGAUAGACAGAGCAAUAUGUGUCCUGAUGAUGGAGUUUAGAACCCUAGAUCCAGCCAAUCCAGCAUUUUUCAGUCAUUUCAACAAAAAGAUUUUAGCUUUUUUUCUUACACAAGUUUGACUUGGGUUUCUGUAUUUGUCACUGAAGGGAUCCUUAUUAAUAAAUUUUAAAUUUUCUGUAUCUGUGAGGACACUAUUGGUGAAAGUACUUACCAAUGACCAAUUCACUGGUUUGAUGAUAAACUUUACACAGUAAAAUUUAUUAUCUCAUAAGAAGUUUGAUCAAAACUCCAACUCCGUUUCACUAUGAUCCUCUUAAUUUUUCCUUUCUCUGUGUACUGGUCUUGGUGGCAACAAGAUGGCUUCUAUACAUUCAGAAUUCAGAUAAAUUGGCCAGAGGCAGAUAAUGGACUGUCUCUUCCAGCCUGUGCUUCUUAAGACUUUUCCUAGGAGCUCCUCAGCAGACCUCACCUGCUGGGAGCGAUGCGCUGUAGAUCACUAUGGCUAGGCCUUACUCGCCUCCUUCCCAUGGAGAGCAUGGUGGAGCAAGGCCUGGCCAAGAAGAGGACUAUUUUCCUUCCCACCCAUUCCCAUUUGCCAGAGAAACAUCAAGCAUUAUCUCCUGCAGACUCUAGCCAUUCUCUGUUCCAAUCAGGCAUCCUCUUUUGGUUUCCUUAUCUACACUAUAAAUAAAGGUGCUGAGGAUGCAAGUCAAGCUUUUUGUCUCAUCAGGACAGAGAGUUUCCACCUGGCCUAAGCCAUGUAAACUUUACUGUCGUCUUUGUCUUCUUUGUCUUAUUAAGUUUCUUAAUCUCUCACCUUCAUUUCUCACUCUGUGAACCCUUUAGUCACGUGGGCUGUGGCACCCACCUCCUGCCUUCUGAUUGGACAGCCCAUGUCACAUGGCCAUUUCUAAACCAAUCCUUGGCCCUGGCUGGUUGGACCACCCUGGGUGGCUGGGUCUGAGGUCAAGGUCCACCUCCCUGUAGCAGAGACUCCUGUAUUUGUCCCUUUCUCUCCAGGACCCAGAGUCUGUUUUCUCUCAGGUUCCAUCCUAUACUGCACAGACAACUCCCUCCUGUGCUGGGGAAAAGCAUUUUGCUUGAGCUUGUUCCCUGUCCAGCUGCCAUACUAUUUCCCUAGUUCUUCUAUUGGAGGUAGAUGGGCUCUCGGUUGGCUAUGCAGAAGGGCUCUUUUUCCAGUCCUUUCCUCAGGAUAGACCAGGGCCCUGGACAGCAGAACUAAGGCCAAGGAAUGGAAGUGUCAGAAAUUCAAGAUGGGUGACAACAGAUUCCUUGUUAGGUAGUCAGCUCUCCACCAAGGAUGGUGUUGGAGCAAUGGUGACAUGACUGUCUUUGAGUCAGUGUAGACAGAUUUCACCUACUGGGGGCACCUGGAUUUGUCCAUUCAUUCAUUUAUUUAUUCAACAACUAUCCAUUAAGUUCCUACUAUAUACCAGGUAGUGAGUUAAGCAUUGACAAUAUGGCAGUUCACACAUACAGCUGGGUGCAAGUAGUGGACACCUGUAGUCCCAGCUAUUUGAGAGGCAGGAUCUCUUGAGUCCAGGAGUUCAAAGCCAGCCUGGAGAGCAUAACAAGACCCUGUUUCUAACAAGUGCAAGUGGAAGGACCCAAGUUCGAUCCCCGGUACCAAAAAAAAAAAAAAAAAGAAACAAACAAACAAAAAACUUGCCAAAGAUAGAGCUCCUGGGUGCAUUCAGUUUAGAAUUUAUCAGGAGAGAUGAAUCUUAAAUGAAUAACAAUGCACCUAAAUACAUAAUUACAGGCUAUAGUAGGAUGAUCCCCCAAAGUCUCUUCUAAUCAGAGACUUAUAAUUUCAUAUGUAAGAUGCUUAUCUGACUGGCACAUAGUAGAUGUUCAAUAAAUGUUCUUGCUGCUGUUAUGCUCUAACCACAGAAGCCCUUUGGUUACAUUUUGGUCUCUCAACCAUCUAUAAUACUGUCCUUAUAUGACCCAUUUGCCAUUUAGUCACAUAGCUUCAUUUUAUUAUUCAACUUUUAAUUUCUUUUUAUAAUAAUAGUAAUUUUUUUCAUGAAUUCUACAACUUUCAACUUACCAAAUGAUGCUGAAUAGAUUUAACUGGUUAAAAAAAUAAGUUAUUCAAAUCCGUCAAAUUCUUUGCCUCCAUUUUGUAGCUCAAGAACACAAGUAAUAUGGGAAAGGAGAAUUCCUUACUGGUCUGCAGCAAGUUUCACACAUCAAAGUGGUCCUGUGUGGAAAGCAAGGAUCUUACCUCGUUUUCUAGCUGAGGAAACUUAAGUUUCACCAUGUUGAAAUGGUUUGGCCAGCACUUGACAGGAGAAUGUGUUUCUUUCUCCAGUCUUCAGGUGGCUUGAACAGAAUGCCAGCUGAAAGGCACCCAGAGAAGCAUCUACUUCCAAUUUUAGUAUAUGUGCUGCCGAAGCGAGCACAAGAGAAGCAUCUACUUCCAUCUCCCCAACUUACAGGACAUCCUCAAAGCCUACAUUCUUCUAUGAUCUUCUGACAGCAGCAACAUCAUAGGUGAAAAGUGGAUAACUCACUGACAGAGACCUCAUCAACCCAUAAAAGCCAGAGGGACGAGACCAGGGCGACGUGGACGACGACCCAUGAGCCCCGUGUUGAAGAGAAACAGUCACUGAGCGGUAGAAAGUCGCGGAGUUCCGCAAAACCGCUCCCACACAGGAGCCGGCGGAAACCCGUCUUCCGGGAAGCCUGAGCAAUUCGGCGGUCACCCAG